UUUCUCCCUCUUUCUGCAUCUUCCUUUAUCUAUCCUCGACCUAAUUAUGUUCAUGUAAUGUGACCUCCUUCUCUCGGAGAAACGAUAGACGAGACAUACUUGGCAAGUGCUUCCACAAAUUAAGUUACUAAGGAACUUUCUAAUUAGACGCAUAAUGACAACAUUAUUUGAGGCAGCGCGUACGAAGAAGAGAGUAUACUCGAACAGCUUAAAUAACAAAACAGAAUUUCUGAGAAAAAUAUUUCCUAUAUUUUUACCGCGAAUUACGUCAAAUGUAAAAGAUAUUACUGAUUUAAAAAAUGCGAGCAGGAAACAUAUUAUCAACGAUAUUAUUUUAUGUAAUAUAUGGAAUUUCGCUCGAAUUUGAGGGAAAAAUAUCUUAUGUUAAUGUGUUUGAAAAAAAUAACUCAUUUUUCCGUCCUGUUGAAGUAGCGAACAUUUUUUGGAAGAAAAAAAAAAGAAAAGAAAACAGAAUUCCUGCAUAAGAAUAAACGUUUUAUUCUUAAUACGUGCCUUAUUGCACGCGGAUAGACUAAUUACACUUUAGCGAUUCUAUAGUGGACUGCGAGCGUAUGAGAGCUGGAUGAAGAGGCUGUUCUCAGGAGACGAUCGGAAGCUAAACGGUCGGGUCCUAAACUAAAACGGUUCGACGCCAUUCUUGGAGCAAUCUUUCACCGUGUAUCCGAAUGAAGAGAAAGGAGAGACAGUUCGGAGAGUAAAAGGAGCGACAGAAGAAAAAAAA
rnacentral:lncRNA from 1 species